UACUAGCACAUAUGUCAAAUUCCUAAUUAACGUUUUUUAUAUUCAUCGUUUCUUAGAGCCGUAAUUGUGCUGAUAUCAAUAUCAGGGAAGAACAUACCAUAUAGAGGUGUCAAGUACACCGAACGAUCGUGGUGCUCCCUCAGCCACGGGCGUGCUUGGACGCUAUUCCCACAUAU
rnacentral:snoRNA from 13 species